rnacentral:tRNA from 1 species
UCCUUCGUAGUCUAACGGUUAGGAUAUGAGAUUCUCAUUCUCGAGAUCCGGGUUCGAUUCCCGGCGAAGGAA